GCCUAGUUAGCUUAGUUGGUAGUGCGUCUGCCUUAUAAGCGCUAGGCCGCAGGUUCGAUUCCCGCCCGGGGCG
rnacentral:tRNA from 1 species